AUUGAACGCUGGCGGAAUGCUUACACAUGCAAGUCGAGCGGCAGCGCGGGGCAACCUGGCGGCGAGCGGCGAACGGGUGAGUAAUGUAUCGGAACGUGUCCUGAGAUGGGGGAUAGCCCGGUGAAAACCGGAUUAAUACCGCAUACGAUCGAGAGAUGAAAGUGGGGGACCGCAAGGCCUCACGUCUUAGGAGCGGCCGAUAUCAGAUUAGCUAGUUGGUGAGGUAAAGGCUCACCAAGGCUCCGAUCUGUAGCUGGUCUGAGAGGAUGAUCAGCCACACUGGGACUGAGACACGGCCCAGACUCCUACGGGAGGCAGCAGUGGGGAAUUUUGGACAAUGGGGGCAACCCUGAUCCAGCCAUUCCGCGUGAGUGAAGAAGGCCUUCGGGUUGUAAAGCUCUUUUGUCCGGGAAGAAACGGUUUUGGUUAAUAACCAAGACUACUGACGGUACCGGAAGAAUAAGGACCGGCUAACUACGUGCCAGCCGCCGCGGUAAAAC
rnacentral:rRNA from 1 species